UUCUGGUAGUAGGAUGGUCUAAACUGUUGGUUUUCAACCACUACGACCUGGGUUCGAAUCCCGCAUUGGAAA
rnacentral:tRNA from 1 species